rnacentral:tmRNA from 1 species
CCCCGUUGCAUUCACGCUGUGUGCCCCUAUAUUGCCUGUGUCCCCUCGGGGACUAUGAACAUAAACGCGCUCGUAAUACGCGGAUCGGACCCGGGGGCGGUACCCGGCGACUCCACCAAUACCCGUUCAUUUGGCGGCGGAGGGGGUCGAAACAGGAUCGACGAACGUCUAAAGGGGUUAUGCUUUGUUUCGGCGGGGUGCCACCGUAUCGGCCCGAAAAGUACAAUUGCAAAUGACAAUCGUGCUCCAGUAGCGAUGGCCGCGUAAGCGGUCGGAGAGACUGAAACUUAAGCCCUUGCGCCUAGCCGCGUAAGGCGGGGUCCGCAGGCACCUGGCAACAGAAGCCUGCACU